ACCACCCCAGUGAAACAGCCUACCAAUAACANNAACAGAGCCGACAUCAGAUUAANCCACCCAUGACGUCAAGCAAUUNNNAGCCACACCCCCACGGGCCUGCAGCAGUACUUAAUAUUGGGCUAUAAGCGAAANNNNNGCUUGACCUAAUAAUGGGANCNANUCANGGGCCGGUUAAUCUCNGUGCCAGCGACCGCGGUUACACGACAGACCCAAGACAAUGCCCCCGGCGUAAAGCACGACUAAAAUAACAGUUAUCCACUUCNUAGGCUAGAGGAANAGACUGGGCCGUAAAAAGCCAUAAGUUACACNAAACCACCACCCCNUAAAAANUAAANCUAUUUCAACUCGUGAAAGCAAGGACACAAACUAAGAUUAGAUACCUUACUAUGCCUCGCCGUAACACAGCAAUUAAAUAACCAAUUGCUCGCCAAAUAACUACGAGUAAAAACUUGAAAUUUAAAAGACUUGACGGUACUUCACAACAACCUAGAGGAGCCUGUCCAAUAACCGAUAAUCCACGAUUAACCCCACCCGUUUUUGCCCAANCAGUCUAUAUACCGCCGUCGCCAGCUUACCUUGUGAAAGAAAAAGANGCAAGCCAAACAGUACUUACACUAACACGACAGGUCGAGGUGUAACCAAUAAACGGGUCAAAGAUGGGCUACAUUUUCUCAAUCAGAAAAAACGAACAAANGUAUGAAAUAACGACCUGAAGGAGGAUUUAGCAGUAAGAUAAAGACANGAAUACUUAUCUGAAACCAAUGCAAUGAAGCGCGUACACACCGCCCGUCAUCCCUGUAAANAACAACACAAACAUUCAUAAACACAUACACACACCAAANGCAGGGCAAGUCGUAACAC
rnacentral:rRNA from 1 species